rnacentral:rRNA from 1 species
GAUGAACGCUGGCGGCGUGCCUAAUACAUGCAAGUCGAGCGAACAGACGAGGAGCUUGCUCCUCUGACGUUAGCGGCGGACGGGUGAGUAACACGUGGAUAACCUACCUAUAAGACUGGGAUAACUUCGGGAAACCGGAGCUAAUACCGGAUAACAUGUUGAACCGCAUGGUUCAACAGUGAAAGACGGUCUUGCUGUCACUUAUAGAUGGAUCCGCGCCGCAUUAGCUAGUUGGUAAGGUAACGGCUUACCAAGGCAACGAUGCGUAGCCGACCUGAGAGGAUGAUCGGCCACACUGGAACUGAGACACGGUCCAGACUCCUACGGGAGGCAGCAGUAGGGAAUCUUCCGCAAUGGGCGAAAGCCUGACGGAGCAACGCCGCGUGAGUGAAGAAGGUCUUCGGAUCGUAAAACUCUGUUAUUAGGGAAGAACAAAUGUGUAAGUAACUAUGCACGUCUUGACGGUACCUAAUCAGAAAGCCACGGCUAACUCCGUG